rnacentral:rRNA from 1 species
GAUGAACGCUGGCGGCGUGCCUAAUACAUGCAAGUCGAGCGAACAGAUGAGGAGCUUGCUCCUCUGACGUUAGCGGCGGACGGGUGAGUAACACGUGGAUAACCUACCUAUAAGACUGGGAUAACUUCGGGAAACCGGAUCUAAUACCGGAUAAUAUAUUGAACCGCGUGGUUCAAUAGUGAAAGACGGUUUUGCUGUCACUUAUAGAUGGAUCCGCGCCGCAUUAGCUAGUUGGUAAGGUAACGGCUUACCAAGGCAACGAUGCGUAGCCGACCUGAGAGGGUGAUCGGCCACACUGGAACUGAGACACGGUCCAGACUCCUACGGGAGGCAGCAAUAGGGAAUCUUCCGCAAUGGGCGAAAGCCCGACGGAGCAACGCCGCGUGAGUGAUGAAGGUCUUCGGAUCGUAAAACUCUGUUAUUAGGGAAGAACAAAUGUGUAAGUAACUAUGCACGUCUUGACGGUACCUAAUCAGAAAGCCACGGCUAACUACGUG